GCUCUCGACACUUCUUUCAGUUCUCAGGUUCAGGCAGAUUUGAUUCACUCUUCCUCCUCCUGUUCGACCGUGUCCUACCUCAUCCCACCUCCUCUAACGCGUUUCUCGGACGUUUUUCUUUGAAACAUCUCUAUAAACCACCAUGGCUGACACCGCUGUUGAUACGACCACCACCACAGAGAUCACCGCCAAGGACUUGAAAGAGAAGAAGGAGGUGGUUGAGGAGGCAGCGGAGGCUGCAAAGGAAAACGGCAGUGAAGACGCACCUGCCAAUGGAAAUGGAACAACUAAUGGUGCUUCACACAAGGAAGAGGAAAACCAAUGAGGAAGAAGAGGGUGGAGAUGAUGAGGAGGGAGAAGCAGGAGGAGGAGGAGGAGAACGGUGCUGAAGAAAAGGCAGAUGGGGAAACCCGUGAAAACGGUCCAGCAGAAGAGGAGGAGGCAGUCAAAACAAAGAAACAGAAGACAGAGGAGAAUGGUGACUCCACAGAGGCUGAAGUCCAAGCCUAAAGUUCUUGCCGGCCUUCAGUAGCUCUGUCUGUAUGGUCAGUUUGACCUAGUAGAGUUUGUGCUUUUCUGUAUAUUUCACAGAUUCAAUUCUUUUUGUGCGCUACAAGAUCUUUAUAUUGCACUGAGGCCCAUAACAUCAUGACCCCGUCCCCUUUUGUAAGACCUUAUUUAUUGGACCAACAUUAGAACCCUGUAUUAAAAGGAACAAUUUUUAUUUUAGCACACAUUUAACAAGCACACAUUCUACUCUGUUAUUUGACCAUCGGAUAUACACACAAGCAACUGAAAGCCUUAGGUUCUAUCAUUUUCAUGGGUGCCAUUUUUUUCAAUCUACUAAAGACCAAAGAUGAGUUUUAAGCAGGGGCUAAUAAACAAUGUUUAACCUGGUUGUGCUGCUAGAAGUUAAUCCCUCGCUUUGGCAGAUCAGUUAACAUAGCAGAUGGUUCAUAUCAACGCAUCGCCCGCCCUCUUAACAUGUUAAUUAACCCCUUUUUAAAUCUUGAAGGUCUUUUGUUCCAUAUGCAUUUAAAAGGAUUGUAUCUUUCUGUCCUUAUGUACAGUUUUGGGGUUUUGUUUAUCAUUGCGUUUUAUAUGGGAAGAGCAGAAUGGAAAAAAAAAAA